UACAGAGGUCUCAAGCGUUGUUCGGAUUCAUUGGGCGUAAAGGGCGCGUAGGCUGCGGGGCAAGUCGGGUGUGAAAUCUCAGAGCUCAACUCUGAAACUGCACUCGAUACUGCUUUGCUUGAGAACUGGAGAGGAGAUUGGAAUUCACGGUGUAGCAGUGAAAUGCGUAGAUAUCGUGAGGAAGACCAGUGGCGAAGGCGGAUCUCUGGACAGUUCCUGACGCUGAGGCGCGAAGGCCAGGGGAGCAAACGGG
rnacentral:rRNA from 1 species